GGAGCUGUGCCUGAGCACCCAAGGACCACUUUGAUAGAGUGAACUACGAAGGUUAAAAUCCUUCCAGCUCCU
rnacentral:tRNA from 1 species